rnacentral:SRP_RNA from 1 species
GCCAGGCAUGGUGACGCAUACCUGUAAUCCCAGCUACUUGGGAGGCUGAGGCAGGAGAAUUGUUUGAACCCAGGAGGGGGAGUUGGCAGUGAGCUGAGAUCGUGCCACUGCACUCCAGCCUGGGUGACAGAGUGAGACUCUGUCUCAA